rnacentral:lncRNA from 10 species
AAGAAAUUUAAUAGGAAAAAAGCAGACAAAUGAUAUGAAUAGAUACUUCUCAAAGGAAGACAUAAAAACUGGCAAUAAACAUGCAAGAAAAUUGCUCAACAUCUCAAAUUAUCAGAGAGAUGUCAAUCAAAAUGACAAUAUGAUACCAUCUCACAACAGUUAAAGUGGCUGUUAUUAAAAAGUCAAAAAAUAACACGUCGUAGUUGUGGAGAAAAGGGAAUCUUUACACACUGUUGGUGGCAAUGCAAAUUAAUUCAGCCCCUGUGGAACACAGUUUGGAGAUUUCUCAAAGAACUAAAGAUACAAUUGCCAUUUGACCCAUCAACCUUGUUACUGGGUAUAUGCUUAAAGAAAAAUAAAUUAUUUUACCAAAAAGACACCUGCACUCAGAUGUUUACUGCAGCAGUAUUCGCAAUAGCAAAGGCAUGGAUUUAAACCAGGUACAUAUGAAUCUUAGAUUGAUGUUUCACGUUCAUUUGCUUAGAUUAAAGGCCUGCUGUAGCCACGUUGCUGCAAAGAACAUUACUUUUUCUUUUCUAUGGCUCCAUAGUAUUGCAUGUGUAUAAGUAUCUCAAAUACCACAUGUUCUUAUUUAUAAGUGGGUGCUAAACCUUGGGUGAACCUGGAAACAAAAAUAAAAACAAUAAACACUGGGAAUUCUAAAAAAGAAAAAAAAAGGAGAUAAGCUUUGAAAAAACUACUUAUCAGGUAUGAUGUACUCUACUUGGGCAACGAGAUUAUUAAAUACCCAAACCUCAAAAUCAUGCAGUAUACCUAUGUUACAAAUAUGUAUGUGUACCCCUUGAAUCUAAAAUAAAAGUAAUAAAACACUUUGUGGAAUAAUGACAUAUUACAUUUCUCCAGUUCUAAGUUAAUAGUUGGAAUUAGGAGUGAAAGAGAAUUAUGUUCACUUUGG